GGAGGAAAAGAAACCAACAGGGAUUGCCUUAGUAACGGCGAGUGAAGCGGCAACAGCUCAAAUUUGAAAUCUGGCCUUGGCCCGAGUUGUAAUUUGCAGAGGAUGCUUCUGGCGCGGUGCCUUCCGAGUUCCCUGGAACGGGACGCCAAAGAGGGUGAGAGCCCCGUAUGGUCGGACACCAAGCCUGUGUGAAGCUCCUUCGACGAGUCGAGUAGUUUGGGAAUGCUGCUCUAAAUGGGAGGUAAAUCUCUUCUAAAGCUAAAUACCGGCCAGAGACCGAUAGCGCACAAGUAGAGUGAUCGAAAGAUGAAAAGCACCUUGAAAAGGGGGUUAAAUAGUACGUGAAAUUGUUGAAAGGGAAGCACUUAUGACCAGACUUGGGCCGGGCGGCUCAUCAGGGGUUCUCCCCUGUGCACUCCGCCCGGCACAGGCCAGCAUCGGUUCUCGUGGGGGGAUAAGACCGUCAGGAACGUAGCACCCUCCGGGGUGUGUUAUAGCCUGGCGGACGAUACCCUCGUGGGGACUGAGGUUCGCGCUCCGCAAGGAUGCUGGCGUAAUGGUCAUCAGUGACCCGUCUUGAAACACGGACCAAGGAGUCGUCCAUUAGAGCGAGCGUUUGGGUGCAAAACCCGCACGCGUAAUGAAAGUGAACGCAGGUGAGAGCUUCGGCGCAUCAUCGACCGAUCCUGAUGUUCUCGGAAGGAUUUGAGUAAGAGUUUUAACGGACGGACCCGAAAGACAGUGAACUAUGCUUGUAUAGGGUGAAGCCAGAGGAAACUCUGGUGGAGGCUCGCAGCGGUUCUGACGUGCAAAUCGAUCGUCAAAUAUGAGCAUGGGGGCGAAAGACUAAUCGAACUGUCUAGUAGCUGGUUACCGCC
rnacentral:rRNA from 1 species